rnacentral:rRNA from 1 species
UGGGGAAUAUUGGACAAUGGGGGCAACCCUGAUCCAGCCAUGCCGCGUGAGUGAAGAAGGCCUUAGGGUUGUAAAGCUCUUUCAGUCGUGACGAUGAUGACGGUAGCGACAGAAGAAGCCCCGGCUAACUCCGUGCCAGCAGCCGCGGUAAUACGGAGGGGGCAAGCGUUGUUCGGAUUUACUGGGCGUAAAGCGUCCGCAGGUGGCACUUCAAGUCUGCUGUCAAAGACCAGAGCUCAACUCUGGGCAGGCGGUGGAAACUGGGGAGCUAGAGUUCGGUAGGGGUAGAGGGAAUUUCCAGUGUAGCGGUGAAAUGCGUAGAGAUUGGAAAGAACACCAGUGGCGAAGGCGCUCUACUGGACCUGUACUGACACUAAGGGACGAAAGCUAGGGGAGCGAAAGGGAUUAGAUACCCCCGUAGUCC